CUGGUUGUAGAAACCAACGAGACCUGGAAAAACAGAUUGGUGCAAGAGGGAGAGGCAGAGAGAAGCCAGGAUUAGCUUCUUCCGCGUUUUCCACAGUGAAGAAAUGUUGAGGGCAUGUAAUACCUUUGCCAAAGGCUACUAGAGUGAGACAUGUGAAUGCAGUAGCAUCUGAGAGUGACAUUCUGCUGCUCACCUGGGGAAGUGCAUCCACAGAGCCCUACAGUGGUAACUCACCCAGUACCCAAACCUGAAUGUUGCUGUGGCUACAGAGAUCCUACAGACAAGUGC